GCGGCGUUGCCCAAGUGCGGUGCCUCCGCCGCCGCCGCCAUGGCGCGCGUCCAGCGGUGCCCGUCGCAGGUGAGCGCGCCGGCGUCGUGCCCGUGGGGCUCGAGGCUGCUGGACCCGUCGAGCGCGUCCCUCCACGACAGCGAGUGCGGGUCGACGAGCACCGUGCUGACCGCCGCCACCACCACCUACUGCUGGUCGCUGGCCACCGACAACGCCGCCAUCGCGUGAUGCUUUGCUUGCUACUGAACCUGCACUUUCUGCCACUGACGUUGCUUGCUACAGUAGAAGAAACUGAAACUGAAGCUGAAACUGAAUUUUCUCUGUUGCUUCUACCUCUUAUCUCUUUCUGUGUGCAAUCUUUCUAGGGAUCAGAUGACACAUUGGAGUUUGUAUUUUUGCCAAGGAAACAUAGCUAGCAUCGACGUUCUCAUGUGUUUUUGUACUGUGUUUUCAGCUGUACUAAGCCUGUAAUCGUCGCGUGAUGUCGUCCUAAUCUGUCAGGUUCUUGUCACUGCAGACUGAACUGAUGAAACCAGCAAGAUGGAAGUAUCAUCAGUGUCUUUGUUGCUGCUGCUGAGUCUGCAGCAUUUUUUUUGUUAACAAUUGGGAGUGUACUUCUCAUACGGAUGCAUUGGGGGGACUCUCUAAUCUGUAUUAACAAUCCACGAUCCUUUUUGGACUCGAGUGACGAGCACUGAAGAAAGAUUUGCCUAGUUGAAUGCG
rnacentral:lncRNA from 1 species